GGGGAUUUAGCUCAGCGGCAUAAGCACCUGCCUUGCAAGCAGGCAGUCGGGUGAGUUCGAUCCCCG
rnacentral:tRNA from 1 species